rnacentral:rRNA from 1 species
CCUACGGGUGGCAGCAGUGGGGAAUAUUGGACAAUGGGGGGAACCCUGAUCCAGCCAUGCCGCGUGUGUGAAGAAGGCCCUCGGGUUGUAAAGCACUUUCAGUGAGGAAGAACGCCUGGUGGUUAAUACCCAUCAGGAAAGACAUCACUCACAGAAGAAGCACCGGCUAACUCCGUGCCAGCAGCCGCGGUAAUACGGAGGGUGCGAGCGUUAAUCGGAAUUACUGGGCGUAAAGCGCGCGUAGGUGGCUUGAUAAGCCGGUUGUGAAAGCCCCGGGCUCAACCUGGGAACGGCAUCCGGAACUGUCAAGCUAGAGUGCAGGAGAGGAAGGUAGAAUUCCCAGUGUAGCGGUGAAAUGCGUAGAGAUCGGGAGGAAUACCAGUGGCGAAGGCGGCCUUCUGGACUGAAACUGACACUGAGGUGCGAAAGCGUGGGUAGCAAACAGGAUUAGAUACCCCUGUAGUC